rnacentral:piRNA from 1 species
UCCCACUAGCUUGUGUCAAGAUGUGA